rnacentral:rRNA from 1 species
GGAUCAUUACUGAGUUUACGCUCUACAACCCUUUGUGAACAUACCUAUAACUGUUGCUUCGGCGGGUAGGGUCUCCGUGACCCUCCCGGCCUCCCGCCCCCGGGCGGGUCGGCGCCCGCCGGAGGAUAACCAAACUCUGAUUUAACGACGUUUCUUCUGAGUGGUACAAGCAAAUAAUCAAAACUUUUAACAACGGAUCUCUUGGUUCUGGCAUCGAUGAAGAACGCAGCGAAAUGCGAUAAGUAAUGUGAAUUGCAGAAUUCAGUGAAUCAUCGAAUCUUUGAACGCACAUUGCGCCCGCCAGCAUUCUGGCGGGCAUGCCUGUUCGAGCGUCAUUUCAACCCUCAAGCUCUGCUUGGUGUUGGGGCCCUACAGCUGAUGUAGGCCCUCAAAGGUAGUGGCGGACCCUCCCGGAGCCUCCUUUGCGUAGUAACUUUACGUCUCGCACUGGGAUCCGGAGGGACUCUUGCCGUAAAACCCCCCAAUUUUCCAAAGGUUGACCUCGGAUCAGGUAGGAAUACCCGCUGAACUUAAGCAUAUCAAUAAGCGGAGGAAAAGAAACCAACAGGGAUUGCCUCAGUAACGGCGAGUGAAGCGGCAACAGCUCAAAUUUGAAAUCUGGCCCUAGGCCCGAGUUGUAAUUUGCAGAGGAUGCUUUUGGUGCGGUGCCUUCCAAGUUCCCUAGAACGGGACGCCGGAGAGGGUGAGAGCCCCGUACAGUUGGACACCAAGCCUUUGUAAAGCUCCUUCGACGAGUCGAGUAGUUUGGGAAUGCUGCUCAAAAUGGGAGGUAUAUUUCUUCUAAAGCUAAAUACCGGCCAGAGACCGAUAGCGCACAAGUAGAGUGAUCGAAAGAUGAAAAGCACUUUGAAAAGAGGGUUAAACAGCACGUGAAAUUGUUAAAAGGGAAGCGCUUGUGACCAGACUUGCGUCCGGUGAAUCACCCAGCUCUCGCGGCUGGGGCACUUCGCCGGCUCAGGCCAGCAUCAGCUCGCUGUCGGGGACAAAAGCUUCAGGAACGUAGCUCUCUUCGGGGAGUGUUAUAGCCUGUUGCAUAAUACCCU